AUUCCCUAGUUUUACAAUUUCCCACUUUUUACAAUUGCCCUAGCGUCCAGACUUGAAUUUCGAUCUGCUCCACAAUUGCCCUAGCGUCCAGCGAUCUGCUCCACAUUGCCCUAGCUCCAGCGAUUACACCAACACCAAGAAAGGCUCCAGCUCCGGCGAUUACACUUGCUCUAGCGAUUACACCAACACGAACCAGCGGCGAAGGCUCCGG
rnacentral:lncRNA from 1 species